rnacentral:rRNA from 1 species
UACGGAGGAUCCGAGCGUUAUCCGGAUUUAUUGGGUUUAAAGGGAGCGUAGGUGGAUUGUUAAGUCAGUUGUGAAAGUUUGCGGCUCAACCGUAAAAUUGCAGUUGAAACUGGCAGUCUUGAGUACAGUAGAGGUGGGCGGAAUUCGUGGUGUAGCGGUGAAAUGCUUAGAUAUCACGAAGAACUCCGAUUGCGAAGGCAGCUCACUAGACUGCAACUGACACUGAUGCUCGAAAGCGUGGGUAUCGAACAGG